rnacentral:rRNA from 1 species
CCUGGCUCACGUUGAGCGCUAGCUACAGGCUUAACACAUGCAAGUCGAGGGGCAUCAGGAAGAAAGCUUGCUUUCUUUGCUGGCGACCGGCGCACGGGUGAGUAACACGUAUCCAACCUGCCCUUUACUCGGGGAUAGCCUUUCGAAAGAAAGAUUAAUACCCGAUAGUAUAAUGAUUCCGCAUGGUUUCAUUAUUAAAGGAUUCCGGUAAAGGAUGGGGAUGCGUUCCAUUAGGUUGUUGGUGAGGUAACGGCUCACCAAGCCUUCGAUGGAUAGGGGUUCUGAGAGGAAGGUCCCCCACAUUGGAACUGAGACACGGUCCAAACUCCUACGGGAGGCAGCAGUGAGGAAUAUUGGUCAAUGGGCGCGAGCCUGAACCAGCCAAGUAGCGUGAAGGAUGACUGCCCUAUGGGUUGUAAACUUCUUUUAUAUUAGAAUAAAGUGCAGUAUGUAUACUGUUUUGUAUGUAUAAUAUGAAUAAGGAUCGGCUAACUCCGUGCCAGCAGCCGCGGUAAUACGGAGGAUCCGAGCGUUAUCCGGAUUUAUUGGGUUUAAAGGGAGCGUAGGUGGACUGGUAAGUCAGUUGUGAAAGUUUGCGGCUCAACCGUAAAAUUGCAGUUGAUACUGUCAGUCUUGAGUACAGUAGAGGUGGGCGGAAUUCGUGGUGUAGCGGUGAAAUGCUUAGAUAUCACGAAGAACUCCGAUUGCGAAGGCAGCUCACUGGACUGCAACUGACACUGAUGCUCGAAAGUGUGGGUAUCAAACAGGAUUAGAUACCCUGGUAGUCCACACAGUAAACGAUGAAUACUCGCUGUUUGCGAUAUACAGUAAGCGGCCAAGCGAAAGCAUUAAGUAUUCCACCUGGGGAGUACGCCGGCAACGGUGAAACUCAAAGGAAUUGACGGGGGCCCGCACAAGCGGAGGAACAUGUGGUUUAAUUCGAUGAUACGCGAGGAACCUUACCCGGGCUUAAAUUGCAGUGGAAUGAUGUGGAAACAUGUCAGUGAGCAAUCACCGCUGUGAAGGUGCUGCAUGGUUGUCGUCAGCUCGUGCCGUGAGGUGUCGGCUUAAGUGCCAUAACGAGCGCAACCCUUAUCUUUAGUUACUAACAGGUCAUGCUGAGGACUCUAGAGAGACUGCCGUCGUAAGAUGUGAGGAAGGUGGGGAUGACGUCAAAUCAGCACGGCCCUUACGUCCGGGGCUACACACGUGUUACAAUGGGGGGUACAGAAGGCAGCUACCUGGUGACAGGAUGCUAAUCCCAAAAGCCUCUCUCAGUUCGGAUCGAAGUCUGCAACCCGACUUCGUGAAGCUGGAUUCGCUAGUAAUCGCGCAUCAGCCACGGCGCGGUGAAUACGUUCCCGGGCCUUGUACACACCGCCC